CUACUUUCGAGUGUACAUAUGAAAAAAAUUGAGAGGAUACGGAGAUUAGCAUGGCCCCUGCGCAAGGAUGAUACGAACACUCGUCAAGCGUUUCUCUAAAAC